rnacentral:lncRNA from 1 species
AGUCCCUGGAGUUCCCAGCCAAGCCACAGACCUGCCUCUGAGGAAGGGAAUCGAGCAGGGAGUAGGAGGGGACCUCUGGGGACUCGGGCCUGGUGCCACGGCUUACCAAUGGAAGAUUAGGCCAGAUGGCUCCUGAGAGUGCUUUGGGAGAUUCUCUGUUCCUUCUGGGAAUGGCAGGGAUAGGAGGGGGUCCCAGAAGUUUGAACGCUUUGGCAUCCAAGAAAUCACACUCCAAAUACUGCUCUUCUGGCCUCCCCUGGGCUGCCUUCUCCAACCGUGUUCCUGGGAACCGAAGGGCAGAAAUUGCCCUCUUGGGCUUAUAAACAAGGAGCUCCUGCCUGCCUGGAUGAAGAGGAGGUCAAGACUUUGUCCCCCACUCCGCAAGAUACCCUCUCUGUUCCGGAGCGGUGGGUCCCUCCCCUGUUAGGACCUUGUCUCCCUCAGGACUGGACCUGGAUCCUGGGCCUGCAGUCAGAUUGCCAGUUUCACUUAGAGGUGGAAAUGUCAACCCACUGGUUGGAAUGGGAAGCUGCUGUGUUGUGAGCCACCUUAUGGAAAACCCAUGUGGCAGAGAACCGAGGGUGGUGGCUGGCCAACAGCAAGCCAGGAGCUGAGGCCCACAGUCCAACAACUGGUGAGGAACCACAUGCUGCCAGCAGCCAUGUGAGGGAAC